GACGAACGCUGGCGGCGUGCUUAACACAUGCAAGUCGAACGGAGAGGCCCUGCUUAUGUUGGGUCCCCGAGGCGUGAACGGGUGAAUAACGCGUGAGUGUCCUGCCCUUGACUUGGGAAUAACUUCAGAAACCUGGGGCUAAUAACGAAUAGAAACACCUACGGCACGGGGGGGAGUGGAAAUUUUCGGCGGUUGGGGAUGGACUGGAGGCCUAUCAGGUUGUUGGUGGGGUAGUGGCCUACCAGGGCGUUGACGGGUAGUCGGCCUGAGAGGGUGGCCGGCCACAUUGGGACUGGAAUACGACCCAGACUCCUACGGGAGGCAACAGAGGGGAAUAUUGCACAAUGGGCGGAAGCCUGAUGUAGCAACGCCGCGUGCGGGAUGACAGCCUUCGCGUUGUAAACCGCUUUCGCCUGUGACGAAGCGUGAGUGACGGUAAUGGGUAAAGAAGCACCGGCUAACUACGUG
rnacentral:rRNA from 1 species